AUACGGAGGGUGCAAGCGUUAAUCGGAAUUACUGGGCGUAAAGCGCACGCAGGCGGUUUGCUAAGUCAGAUGUGAAAGCCCCGGGCUUAACCUGGGAACUGCAUUUGAUACUGGCAGACUAGAGUAUGGUAGAGAGAAGUGGAAUUCCACAUGUAGCGGUGAAAUGCGUAGAGAUGUGGAGGAACAUCAGUGGCGAAGGCGACUUCUUGGACCAAUACUGACGCUCAGGUGCGAAAGCGUGGGGAGCAAACAGGAUUAGAAACCCCGGUAGUCC
rnacentral:rRNA from 1 species